rnacentral:rRNA from 1 species
GAUGAACGCUGGCGGCGUGCCUAAUACAUGCAAGUCGAGCGAACAGACGAGGAGCUUGCUCCUCUGACGUUAGCGGCGGACGGGUGAGUAACACGUGGAUAACCUACCUAUAAGACUGGGAUAACUUCGGGAAACCGGAGCUAAUACCGGAGAAUAUAUUGAACCGCAUGGUUCAAUAGUGAAAGACGGUUUUGCUGUCACUUAUAGAUGGAGCCGCGCAGCAUUAGCUAGGUGGUAAGGUAACGGCUUACCAAGGCAACGAUGCGAAGCCGACCUGAGCGGGUGAUAGGCCACACUGGAACUGAGACACGGUCCAGACCACUACGGGAGGCAGCAGUACGGAAUCGUCCGCAAUGGGCGAAAGCCUGACGGAGCACCGCCGCGUGAGUGAUGAAGGUCUUCGGAUCGUAAAUCUCUGUUAUUAGUGAAGAACAAAUGUGUAAGUAACUAGGCACGUCUUGACGGUACCUAAUCAGAAAGCCACGGCUAACUACGUGCCAGCCGCCGCGGUAA